rnacentral:rRNA from 1 species
GCAUAACGCGAAGAACCUUACCUACCCUUGACAUGUCAGAGAUCCCUGAGGGAUUGGGGAGUGCCGCAAGGAAUCUGAACACAGGUGCUGCAUGGCUGUCGUCAGCUCGUGUCGUGAGAUGUUGGGUUAAGUCCCGCAACGAGCGCAACCCUUGUCGUUAAUUGCCAUCAUUUGGUUGGGCACUUUAACGAGACUGCCGGUGACAAACCGGAGGAAGGUGGGGAUGACGUCAAGUCCUCAUGGCCCUUAUGGGUAGGGCUUCACACGUCAUACAAUGGUCGGUACAGAGGGUUGCGAAGCCGCGAGGUGGAGCCAAUCCCAGAAAGCCGAUCGUAGUCCGGAUUGGAGGCUGCAACUCGCCUCCAUGAAGUCGGAAUCGCUAGUAAUCGCGGAUCAGCAUGUCGCGGUGAAUACGUUCCCGGGUCUUGUACACACCG